rnacentral:rRNA from 1 species
CCUACGGGAGGCAGCAGUGGGGAAUAUUGGGCAAUGGGCGCAAGCCUGACCCAGCAACGCCGCGUGAAGGAAGAAGGCUUUCGGGUUGUAAACUUCUUUUAUUAGGGACGAAGCAAGUGACGGUACCUGAUGAAUAAGCCACGGCUAACUACGUGCCAGCAGCCGCGGUAAUACGUAGGUGGCAAGCGUUAUCCGGAUUUACUGGGUGUAAAGGGCGUGUAGGCGGGAGUGCAAGUCAGAUGUGAAAACUAUGGGCUCAACCCAUAGCCUGCAUUUGAAACUGUACUUCUUGAGUGCUGGAGAGGCAAUCGGAAUUCCGUGUGUAGCGGUGAAAUGCGUAGAUAUACGGAGGAACACCAGUGGCGAAGGCGGUCUGCUGGACAGCAACUGACGCUGAGGCGCGAAAGCGUGGGGAGCAAACAGGAUUAGAUACCCGUGUAGUC